GCCCUGUCAUCUCUUCCCUCCUCUGUUUGGUUCUUGUUGCUGGCCUUCACCUUUUGGAGGGCGCCAAGGCACUUAGUACACCCAGCGUACGAGGAAUUCUUACAAUUCUUCUCCAAAUUCCUCACAGCAGCAGUGGGAGUGGCAUUAUGGAAGCCAGAGCUGACAUUGAAAGCCGCAGGGCAACUCAGAGAACUGAUCUGGUGAAGCCUAAUCCCACAAAAGCACAAUAUAGCAUCGCAGCUCGCAUUCGGUUGAGGUAUCUUCACGUUCCUGCUCAACAGCGAGCUUUGCAGCGAAUUCACGCAUUUUUGAGAGUCAUCCGGCAUCAUUGGUUGGUCAGGUUCCGCCGAUGUCGGGGCAGAGGCCGGGACCUGAAGGGCAUACCGAGCGUGAGCAGCGAAGAGCCACGCGGCUAACACCGGGCAACACCUGCUCCGGUCCAGGUCUCGGCCGCACGCAUCGUUGACACCUCCAAAUAGCUCCGCUGAGAGGUCCAGCCGGCACGUUUGCGACUCGGUUUGAACCGGAAAUGCCGGAACAGUAUUAGGGGCGGAGUAGUCGCGCGGUUUUAGUGGCUGGG
rnacentral:misc_RNA from 1 species